GUGAGUGAGUGUGUAGAGAGAGAGAGAGAGAGAGAGAGAGAAGAGAGAGAGAGAAGAGAGAGAGGAGAGGAGAGAGAGAGAGAGAGAGAGAGAGAGAGAGGGAGGAGGGUGCAGAUAACAGGAGGGAGAAAACCUCCUCACCAGUAAAGAUGAUGUCAGUCUGCAGCUGAGCCCACAGUCCCCGACACCGAGCUGAACACUCCUGCCCGAGUCUGAAACACAGACAGAGAGAGAAGGAGAAAGGGAGAGAGAACGGGAUAGGCUGAAUGAAUGGAAUCAAGCAGUUGCUGACCAGAAGCAACGGAGGACACCUGUAUAUGCCGAAUGAGUCCAAUCAAUCUAAGGACAUCAUUAAGGUUGCUGGGUCAUUCCGUGGAUGACGUGAGGAGGACGGAGACCCCCCCUCCACCCAGCCCCACCACCUGUGUCUCUAUCUGCCGCUGUGUCCUAUGGCUUUUUAUUCCUAUAUGAUGUCAGAUUGGGCUUAUGUAGGGAUAGAAGCCACUUAACACACGGUGAAAGAGCUUCAUGAAGCAGCACGAGGAGAGAGAAAAAAUGGAAGUGUUCCAGUCCUAGUUGGCCUGCUUUACAAUGUCCCAUAUGCCUGGUACAUAUGGUUUGAUGAAUGUUUCCUGCUUCUGGUUUCAUGCUCCCUGUAGUAAGGCUACAUUUGUGCUCUUCCUUCAGAUAAUGAGUUAGCAGCUCAUUGAAGUGUUCAGAGAAGAGUGAGUCAGAGGCUGUUAUGGUUGUCGGUGCACCUCUUUUUGCUUCCAGGCACAAACGGCCUUCACCGUUUUUCAAUUUAUGAUGCUGUGGUGACAGCGGGGGUCUGCAGGGAUGGAUGUUGGAACAUUUGCAGAAGAUGCCAUAAACAAAAGGAAGAAACAAGCAUGGAGAAACCAAUGCAUAUUUUUAAUAACCAACUUUAAAAGAGGUAAAGAAGGGAAAAAAUGAAAAGACAGAGGAAGGGAAGGACAGGGGGGGGAGAGAGAGAUAGAGAUAGAUAGGCGAGAGCUCGCCUGAGAUAGAGUUAGAGCAGAGAGAGAGCCGUAGAGAGAGAGAGAGUAAUGUAGAGACU
rnacentral:lncRNA from 1 species